GCAAAACGCGAAGAACCUUACCUGGACUUGACAUGCAUUUGACCGCUGUAGAAAUAUAGUUUUUUCGCAAGAAACAGAUGCACAGGUGCUGCAUGGCUGUCGUCAGCUCGUGCCGUGAGGUGUUGGGUUAAGUCCCGCAACGAGCGCAACCCUUGUCGUUAGUUGCCAACACGUAAUGGUGGGCACUCUAGCGAGACUGCCUAGGUUAACUAGGAGGAAGGUGAGGAUGACGUCAAGUCCGCAUGGCCUUUAUGUCCAGGGCUACACACGUGCUACAAUGGUCGGUACAGAAGGCAGCGAAGCUGUGAAGCGGAGCAAAUCCUCAAAGCCGGCCCCAGUUCAGAUUGGAGUCUGCAACUCGACUCCAUGAAGAUGGAAUUGCUAGUAAUGGCGGGUCAGCAACACCGCCGUGAACACGUUCCCGGGUCUUGUACACACCG
rnacentral:rRNA from 1 species